GUCCACAUAGCUUACCACGAAA
rnacentral:tRNA from 5 species